AUGCGAUUAAUUAGUUUCAUGAUUCUUAGCACAUUGUUUGCGGGGAAAAGGAGUUACCCCGAGAAUCGCUCAUCACUCGGUGCUAGAUUUGGAAAAAAGUAGAAAACAUUGUAGAAAUUCUUAUAAAUUUAAUUCAUGCAAAUUAUCCAAAGACUAACGAUAAUGGCAGCAGUAAAUUAGGUGGAUAGCAAUACUACGAUUUACCAUGAAAUUAAAAAAAUAAAUAAAAGAAACAGAAA
rnacentral:lncRNA from 1 species